rnacentral:rRNA from 1 species
UUAAACGAGAGUUUGAUCCUGGCUCAGAAUCAACGCUGGCGGCGUGCCUAACACAUGCAAGUCGAACGAGAAAGGGUAGCAAUACCUGAGUAAAGUGGCGCACGGGUGAGUAACACGUGACUAACCUACCCUGGAGUGGGGAAUAACUGAGGGAAACCUUAGCUAAUACCGCAUAACACCUACGGGUCAAAGGAGCAAUUCGCUUCAGGAGGGGGUCGCGGGCGAGUAGGUAGGAGUCCGUGAAAGGGCCCACCCAGACUAUGAUCGAUAUCCGGCCUGAGAGGGCGCACGGACACACUGGAACUGAAACACGGUCCAGACUCCUACGGGAGGCAGCAGUGGGGAAUUUUGCGCAAUGGGGGAAACCCUGACGCAGCAACGCCGCGUGGAGGAAGAAGUAUUUCGGUACG